ensembl:lncRNA
GGGGGAAAGGGGGGAGAAUCCAAUCCGGUUUUAGCUAGUUUGUGUUUCGAUGGGACGUUAACGUCUUCCUGCGCUGAAACCUGUGUGUCUUUUUAUCGAGCUAACUAAGCACUGUUGUUAGCUAUUUUUAGUCUCUUUGCCUUGCUUACUUUCCCCCUCUUCUUGUAUCUUAUUCCUGGUUUUAUUUUUUAUUUUUGUGUGUGUGUGUGUGUGUGUGUUUUAACACCUCAAAAGCAGCCAUGCCCAAAAGGAGCAAAGUAAGUACUUAUGUGUGAUACUUGGAAUUCUCUUUGAUCUGUCUUUUAAUCGGUGUAAAUGUGCAAAACGUGCCUUAUUGCAUUGCUUUUAAAACAUGCAUUCGAGAGUUAUAUCUCUGUUUUUGCUUUGCUCGCAUUAAGUUUGCAGUGUGCAUUCGUUUUUGUUGCACGUUUAAAAAGAAAAAAUAUAUAUAUACUUAUGUGUUUUGAUUUUGCCACGCGCUUCAUUUCGGUGUGCACGGACUUGGGUUUUCCUUCUUUAACGCGUUGCACGAGCGCGUGCAUUUCUGUUUCAGUUAAGUGCAUGAAGGUGGUUUUGUUUUUUCUGAAGCAGGUUAUUUUCAUGCUCACUGUUUACAAAUGGACGAAGUAGCCCUGGAUACAUGGAGCUAGACAAAGGGGUGUAACUGAGGCGAUCUCUACUUUUCACUUAUUCUUCCCUCUCCAUAACCUCAUAAGCUAAAUGCACGUUUAAAAUAAAUAAAUAAAAUUACAUGCAUUGUAGGUCGUUGUGCUUUUUCGAACGUAUACGAAUCGUUUUGUAUGUGUUUUGGGGUUUUAAAUGCAAAAAAAAAACUCGAUCCUUGUUUUGGAAAACGGUCUUGUAUGGAAAUGCUCCUCCAAGAAAAGCUCAAUGGUCUCUGGUAUGAUCCCUUCGACCGCUUUUUGUUUUUUUUUCCUUUCUUUUUCUCGAAAAACACAUUAAAAAUAAAACAAACGCGUGUGUUUCUCUGGGAGUGAAUUCUACUUGUAUAAAUGUAUUAAUGUGCUUAUAGACGAUACACGUUCGUCGCCAUAGCUGUGAAUUCGUGCAAAUCUGUGGUUGUAAAAAUGGCGAAUCUUGCACACCGCAGCGACUCUUGUCGUUUUUCUGGCCUUUUCCUUUCCUUUAUAACGGCCCCAAACUAUCCGAGUAUGUCCUGGCAACAAUGAAAAGCAAGGGGGGAAAUCAGAAUCGGUAUCAAAACGCCAUUUUAAUCGUAUAUCUUUAAUUAAAUCGUCAACGUUGCUGAAUAGAUUAGUGUGGAAGGGAGGCGGGGUUCAUAGUUCCCUCCUUCUCCCUCGUGCGCACACGGGCAGCCAAUCAGCACACAGCGGCAAGAAAAUGGCGGGCUUUUGAGAUCAACAUUAGUUUUUAUAUAUAUAUGAAGGGGGUGGGGCGGUGUUUGCAGUUUGAGCACCAUUGAGUUGCCAUUAAAGUUCUUGUUUCUAUUCUUCUUUCAAGAAGUAUAACAUCUUGUUUUUCUCCAUUUAAACUGAUUAAAAUUUCUUUGUUUUUCAGGCGAACAAUGACACUGAAGCCAGUGAGGUAAGUUUGUUUUGAAUCGUAAGACGAACGCUGUUUUCACUACUCAAAUUUGUGACGGCACAAAUUCACACGUUCCUUUGAUGUUUUUGUGUGUGUGUGUUUUCAGCCCAAAAGGAGAUCGGCGAGAUUGGUAAACGUAAGUAACCACCCGAUGAGCAAUACACCCAGCACAUUUAGUUUGUACAAAUAACUGUUUUUUUUUUUUGUUUGUGUGUUUUUUUUUUAACCACAAACCGCAUGAUUUUAUUUGAUUUUCAGAAACCGGCACCUCCUAAGGCUGAGCCGAAGCCAAAGGCAAAGAAGGCACCUGCCAAACCCAAAAAGACUAAGGAGCCCAAGGAAGACAAGCCCAACGACGAGGAGAAGAAAGAGGAAGUCCCUGCUGAGAACGGCGAGGCAAAGGAUGACGAUGAGGCACCAGCAACAGAAGAGACGGAGAAGAAGGACGACGAAGCAGAAUAACGUCUUGUCUCGAACCAGUGCUCCCUGUACCUCUCUUCUUGUACAAUUCAGGGGAAUAUUUUUAUCUACUAUUUUCUAAAGGCAGUUUUUUUAGUAGUUUGAUUGUAGAGACACAUUUUUUAUGAAAGCUACAAUGCGUUUCGAGGGGGAUUUCAUCCCAUCCCACAUUUCUACAUCCAGAACAGUUAUUGUCUGUCAGUUCCUCUUUUCAAAGUGGGAAGGAGUUACGCCAUUGGUGCGCGCACACACAAACACAUUGCGCAUGGCGAUUACAAAGACAGUCGGACAACUUGCCCAAAUGACUAACAUUCCAUUGGCUCAAUGAGGGAUUUUUUUGUUGUUGUUGUUGUUGUUUGAAUGUGUGUAACCUGUUAUGUAUGCGUGCGUGGCGGGGAGGGGUGCGAAUCACUCAUCGUUUUCUUGUUUAUAAUGAGGCAGAUUACUUAGAACGUUUGUAAGCUGUGUACUGUAUGUUAAUUCUUGUACCGAUUCUGCUUAAUAAACCUACUUUGUAGUACUGGAGCUCUCCAUGUCAGGCCUGUGUAUCAUCACGUGUUUCGUUGUCUUUCCUGUGAUAGCACCACAAUAGAUCUAUAUAGCAGCUGUGAAACGAUCUUUGACUUUAUACGCAGCGUGUAAUGGUACCUUGUCCAGAUGUGGUCAAGACUGAAUCCUUGGCAAAGCUAAAAAUGCAUCGGCGUGUUAAAGCUUGGCCACCUUUUCAGGCCGGGUCUAAUGAUCGAGUGUAAGAUCUGGCAAAACUGUACAGCACUAGUACCAGCAGUAGCAAUAUACAUGUGCAACUACAAAUGUACAGUUUCUUUCAGCUCAUUGUUUAUAGAUGUAUCUCUGUGUAUUGUUUGAUUAAAGCGAGCCAAUAAAAAUUGUUUGUGAGACCUGUUUCUCCCGCU